rnacentral:snRNA from 1 species
AGCUUUGUGCAGUGGCAGUAUCAUAGCCAAUGAGGUUUAUCCCAGGCAUGACUAUUGCUAAUUGAAAACUUUUCCCAUUACAUCCUACUAUAAAAUCCACUACUGGA